AGUGAACGCUGGCGGUAGGCCUAACACAUGCAAGUCGAACGGCAGCACAGAGGAGCUUGCUCCUUGGGUGGCGAGUGGCGGACGGGUGAGGAAUACAUCGGAAUCUACUCUGUCGUGGGGGAUAACGUAGGGAAACUUACGCUAAUACCGCAUACGACCUACGUGUGAAAGCAGGGGAUCUUCGGACCUUGCGGGAUUGAAUGAGCAGAUGUCGGAUUAGCUAGUUGGCGGGGUAAAGGCCCACCAAGGCGACGAUCCGUAGCUGGUCUGAGAGGAUGAUCAGCAACACUGGAACUGAGACACGGUCCAGACUCCUACGGGAGGCAGCAGUGGGGAAUAUUGGACAAUGGGCGCAAGCCUGAUCCAGCCAUACCGCGUGGGUGAAGAAGGCCUUCGGGUUGUAAAGCCCUUUUGUUGGGAAAGAAAUCCAUCUGGUUAAUACCCGGGUGGGAUGACGGUACCCAAAGAAUAAGCACCGGCUAACUUCGUGCCAGCCGCCGCCGUAA
rnacentral:rRNA from 1 species